GGGGAAUAUUGCGCAAUGGGGGAAACCCUGACGCAGCGACGCCGCGUGAAGGAAGAAGGUUUUCGGAUCGUAAACUUCUUUGACUGGGGAAGAAUAUAUGACGGUACCCAGAGAACAAGCCACGGCUAACUACGUGCCAGCAGCCGCGGUAAUACGUAGGUGGCGAGCGUUGUCCGGAAUUACUGGGUGUAAAGGGCGUGUAGGCGGGGGUGCAAGUCAGAUGUGAAAACCCAAGGCUCAACUUUGGGAUUGCAUCUGAAACUGUAUCUCUUGAGUACUGGAGAGGGAAGCGGAAUUCCUAGUGUAGCGGUGAAAUGCGUAGAGAUUAGGAGGAACACCAGUGGCGAAGGCGGCUUCCUGGACAGAGACUGACGCUGAGGCGCGAAAGCGUGGGUAGCGAAC
rnacentral:rRNA from 1 species